CUAAAAUAAGAAGUAGACAACUGACCAAGGUACAAAGUUUGUUUCUUCUCUCAGUCUCCAAAGACUUUGCCUCUGACAUGGUCUACAUCUUCCUUCCCCAGCUCCACAUACUCACUGCUAAGAAAGAUGACCUACAUUCCAAAGGACUGGAUCGAAGGUUACAUACCAGGUCAGCCUCCUUCCUACAUAUUAGUUAUAUUUAGAGUGACCACAGAAUUUAUUUGGAAACUUUUGAGAGUAAAGAGUAUGUUACUAAUGAUUUUGCCAGAACCAGGAAUAAACAGAUUCUGUCUGGAGCAACCAAGAAGGCAUGGUUACCCUAGCAAUAUUUGUGCCCUUUCAUUUUCACAACCACAGGCUUCGUAACAAUAAAAGCUGUCGCAAGGAAG